GGAAGUUUCUGGACCAGAGACUGAACAACAAAUCCUUCAAUGUACUGUGCUCACUAGGGAUCAAACCCAUGCCUCUGCAGCAACCAGAAACACUGCAGAUGGAUUCUUAACACAUUGCACCACAGCAGGAACUCCAAACUGGCAUAUGCACACUGAGUGUAGGCCGGCGGCUACAGCUCCAAUUCAACCCCUAGCCUGGGAACCUCCAUAUGUCGCAGGAGCAGCCCAAGAAAUGGCAAAAAGACAAAAAAAUAAAAUAAAAUAAAAUUGUAUGAUAAUAUAUUUAGAUGGAACACAGGCUCUAUGGGAAAAUAUACUGGGAGAACUUGUUAUUAAUUUCCUUGAAAUAAAGUUUAAAAGUAUAUUAUGUAGGAGAAAUUUAGAAAGAUAGUAGAGGAGGAAGCACCAGAAUUGGUGUUCCCACCUAGGAAACAUUUACACUGGCAGAACCUGUCUAAUGCAACUAACUAGGAACUCUGGAGUCUAUUGAAGGCUUGCAACAUCCAGGGGAAGACUCCAGCAAUACAUUAUGGUUAAUUUGGGUCAAUCUCAGCUCCUAACACAGUAGCAAGUACCAAUCUCCUAUUCCCCUGCUCAGGGCAGACAGCAGUUUACAUGCUUCCUGAGCAGUUUGAACGCAGCCUGCAGGAGCCAUGGUGGGCAAAAAGGACCCUGUUCUCCAAAUAUUGGAACUCUCUGCUCUGAUCACUGAUUGCUGCUUCUUAUCUCAGAGUGCAGACAAAGAGACAGGCAGUGACCGUGCUUGUUGCCCCUCACCUCAUGGUGGAAAGCCCCUCUCUCUCUGGCUGAAGUGACAUCCAUGAGAUUUAGAGAGAUGGUGCCUUUUCCUCCUCUUUGUUUUACUCUUCCCCUUUGGGGAGACAGACAUUGAAAACUAGGAUAGUAAAGCACAAUUACAUAUAUGGAGAAAAUAAGAAAGUCACUACACAACCCCAAGAUAAGAUGUGGACUCAGAAAAGACUUGAUGAGACCUUAUAUUUACUCUCAAGGUGGUUCCCAGCACAGAGACAGACUAAAAUGUUCUACACACACACACACACACACGAAAACUCUGGGGAAGGGGGAGGAUUUGACUCCCAGAGUUAUCAUAUUAUUUGAUUUAAAUGUCCACUUUUCAACCAAAAAAAAAAAAAAA
rnacentral:lncRNA from 1 species